GCCCAGAGUGGGACGGGAGGCAGCAGUGGGGAUAACUGGACGAUGGGGGCAAGCGUGAUCCAGCCAUGCCGCAUGAGUGAUGAACGCCGUAGGGUUGUAAAGCUCUUUCGACGGUGAAGAUAAUGACGGUAACCGUAGAAGAGGCCCCGGCUAACUUCGUGCCAGCAGCCGCGGUAAUACGAAGGGGGCUAGCGUUGUUCGGAAUUACUGGGCGUAAAGCGCACGUAGGCGGAUACUUAAGUCAGGGGUGAAAUCCCGGGGCUCAACCCCGGAACUGCCUUUGAUACUGGGUAUCUGGAGUCCGGAAGAGGUGAGUGGAAUUCCGAGUGUAGAGGUGAAAUUCCUAGAUAUUCGGAGGAACACCAGUGGCGAAGGCGGCUCACUGGUCCGGUACUGACGCUGAGGUGCGAAAGCGUGGGGAGCAAACAGGAUUAGAACCCCUGGU
rnacentral:rRNA from 1 species